GCUUGUAUAGUUUAAUUGGUUAAAACUUUCGUCUCAUAAGCGAACUAUGUAAGGUUCAAGUCCUUCUACAAGUA
rnacentral:tRNA from 1 species